rnacentral:rRNA from 1 species
GACGAACGCUGGCGGCGUGCUUAACACAUGCAAGUCGAGCGGAGCGGCGAACGGGUGAAUAACCCGUCAGUAACUGCCCCCCUCUCUGGGAUAACAGUUGGAAACGGCUGCUAAUACCGGAUAGUGGGGGAUGACUCGCGUCGUAUCAGCUUGUUGGUGGGGGAUGGGCCUACCAAGGCGACGACGGGUAGCCGGCCUGGGAGGGCGACCGGCCACAUUGGGCUGAGAUACGGCCCAAACUCGUACGGGCGGCAGCAGUCGAGAAUAUUGCACAAUGGGGGAGACCGUGAUGCAGAAACGCCGGGUGCGGGAUGACGGGCUUCGGGUUGUAAACCGGUUUCAGCCAUGACGCGGUAGUGGCAGAAGAAGCAACGGCUAACUACGUGCCAGCAGCCGCGGUAAUUC